GAUGAACGCUAGCGAUAGGCUUAACACAUGCAAGUCGAGUGGCAGCAUGGUCUUAGCUUGCUAAGACUGAUGGCGACCGGCGCACGGGUGCGUAACGCGUAUGCAACUUGCCUCACAGAGGGGGAUAACCCGUCGAAAGACGGACUAAUACCGCGUACACUUGGGAUAGGGCAUCCUGACCCAAGGAAAUGAAAUUCGCUGUGAGAUAGGCAUGCGUCCCAUUAGCUAGUUGGUGAGGUAACGGCUCACCAAGGCGACGAUGGGUAGGGGAACUGAGAGGUUGAACCCCCACACUGGUACUGAGACACGGACCAGACUCCUACGGGAGGCAGCAGUGAGGAAUAUUGGUCAAUGGGCGAGAGCCUGAACCAGCCAAGUCGCGUGAAGGAUGACUGUCUUAUGGAUUGUAAACUUCUUUUAUACGGGAAUAACAAGAGCCACGUGUGGCUCCCUGCAUGUACCGUAUGAAUAAGCAUCGGCUAACUCCGUG
rnacentral:rRNA from 1 species